UAUGGUAAGUAUGCUGAAAAGAUUACCUACCUCAAAGUAGACAUAUUAUUCAUUUUUGAUUUGCCUUUUUUCUGUGAGCUGGAACAGUACAACCAACAAUGUCAAAACCACUGAGAUUAUUUUGAAAACUUUAUUGUGAUUUUUUUUUUAAAAAAAGCAAAACUUAGGUUAUAACUUAUUUCUGUCCUAGAGAGAAUAUUUGCCUUAGAUUUUAUAACAACGAAAAUAAAACAUUCCCAUAGAGAAAUAUUUACCCAAACCACGGCACCCCUCAACCCUCCUUUUAGGUGAUGUUUAAAGGUUUUUUCACCUCAUAGUAAAGAGUUCCAAAGUUCAACCAUUUCGGAAAAUGUUGCAGACUCAUCUUCUGCCUGAAGUUUAAAGCUUGCAGGAGCAGAUCAAGUUCCUCGGCUCUCCCACUACAGAAAGCUGCUUACCUCCAUUCCCCCCUCGACACCUGGGACACGGUGCCUCUCCUCAUCUUGUUCAUCAGCUCUGGUCCUUGAUAUCCUCUGCUGUUUGUGUGUGGAAGCCUGAACAGGUGACAAAGACUCACAUUAACAUCUACAAGAGUAUCCAAGACAGCACAGCAAAGGACACAAGGCCCUAAAGCAUGAAUGACUGUGGUCACAGAACCAG